GUACAGUGUCCGCUGCUGGGGAUCCGGGCAGAGAGAGAGAGAGAGAGAGCUCCGGAGGAGGACGGCCGGUGACAGCGAGAGCCUUGGGACCGAGCGGGGGUGUUGGACCUGAACAGCAGGUCGCCAUGCCUGCGAAGGGGCCAAGGUGCCGGGUCCAACCAGUCUAACAUGCACUGGUGUAUUUAACAAGUAAUUAAAGGUGUAAGACUGGGGACACGGUCUGAGGGACAGAGACGCGUCGCUACUGGAAGGUCCUCCUACCAUCCCAGCGCAGUGAGGACGCCGCCCACCGCAGCCUGCGAUCCAUCAGCUGAACACAGUCCUGCCUCUCAUACUUAUCAGACGAAAUCGAUUUUUGCAAAGGCACGGUCUAGUCUGCCGUCAUGGAUUACGCCACGCCCGUUCCGUAAGCGGAGGUCGGACGCUUCGUACUUCUGGUAGAUCGGCGCAUCGGAAAGCCUAAGCGUAAUACCGCUGGUGAAUAAGGCGGUGUAUCGGCUCACCUGCCUAUAAGGCCUCUUUGAGUGAUAUUUUAUUUCUGAGGACAGAUUGCCCUAUAAUCGAUUUUUCUCCACGAUAUCUCUGUGCAAAAAGGGCUUUGAUUUGAGGCCAGUGUGUGGCUCUGCUCGUAAGACUGAUUAAAAGGUCGUCUCUUCGCUGUUGAGCCUCUGAGCAAGGCCCUUAACCCCAACUGCUCCAGGGACUGGCUGAACCUACUCACUCAAGUGUUCGUCGCUUUCAACAAAAACUUCCAUUAGAUUAAUGCAAAUGUAAAAAAAGCAAAAAAAAAAACAGGUGUUUUCUAAAAGUCAAGUCAGUGGCUCAGAUGUUUUGUGAAUUCAUACGAAGUCGCAUGUGAUGGAUUCCUAAAAAUGCGAGCGCAUGAUUUAUUAAGAUGUGAGUGGGCCUGAAUAUUUUGCCAGUGCGUAGGUUUGAUUUAUAACCCCUAAAUAUGCCUGAAAACGUGCCCGCAUGAGCCAGCUGUACAGCGCUACCCAGGAACUGUGAUCCAUUAGCCAUAAAGCUGACAUAUUAUGCCAAUAAAAUUACUCAAAAUAGCAGUAAGACCUCAAAUCGGGCCAGCCUCCAGCAUGCCGGAAAGGCUCGAGGAGAUGUUUACGAGGACAUUCAAUGGAAACCCUUCUCCACUGACAUCCAGUCACUCAGA